rnacentral:rRNA from 1 species
CAAUAGUGUAUAUUAAAGUUGUUGCAGUUAAAAAGCUCGUAGUUGGAUUUCUGGUGGGAGCGAUCGGUCUGGCGCUUAGCGCGAGUACUUGCAUCGUCUCCGGCCAUCCUUGGGGAAAGUCUGUCUGGCAUUAAGUUGUCGGGCAGAGGAUCCUCAUCGUUUACUGUGAAAAAAUUAGAGUGUUCAAAGCAGGCUUAUGCCGUUGAAUAUAUUAGCAUGGAAUAAUAAGAUAGGACUUUGGUACUAUUUUGUUGGUUUGCGCACCAAAGUAAUGAUUAAUAGGGACAGUUGGGGGUAUUCGUAUUCCGUUGUCAGAGGUGAAAUUCUUGGAUUUACGGAAGACGAACUACUGCGAAAGCAUUUACCAAGGAUGUUUUCAUUAA